rnacentral:tRNA from 1 species
GACUCGUUAGCUUAGUGGUAAGAGCGUUGCACUGAAUCAAUUCGCAAAGGUCGGCGGGUUCGAUCCCCCCACGGGUCC